GAGAUGUGUGAUGACGCAUAUCAAUAAGCGGAGGAAAAGAAACUAACAAGGAUUCCCUUAGUAACGGCGAGUGAAGCGGGAAGAGCUCAAAUUUGAAAUCUUCAAGGUUUUACCUUGACGAAUUGUAGUUUAAAGAAGUGUUUUCUGUUGAAGUUUCGGUAAAAGUUCUUUGGAAUAGGACAUCAUAGAGGGUGAGAAUCCCGUAUUUGACCGUUAUUUUCAGCUGUGUGAUACACUUUCAAAGAGUCGGAUUGUUUGGGAAUGCAGUCCAAAAUGGGUGGUAAAUUUCAUCUAAAGCUAAAUAUUGGCGAGAGACCGAUAGCGAACAAGUACCGUGAGGGAAAGAUGAAAAGAACUUUGAAAAGAGAGUUAAACAGUACGUGAAAUUGUCAAAAGGGAAGCGUUUGACACCAGUGUUGUUUUCUCGAAAAUCAAUUAAAAAUAACUUGAUUUUGUGUUGUAUUGACCUUAAAAGCUUUCUUCACUCUUUUCCUGUUAUUUUUAAUGCACUUUUCGUUUAACAAGUCAACAUCAGUUUCUUUUGUUGUAAAAAGGUCAUUGGAAGGUGGCUUUCUUUUCGGAGAAAGUGUUUAUAGCCUUUGACUCCUGCAAUCGGAGAGACUGAGGUCUGCAGCGUAGAUCCUUUUUUGGAUUAGAUUCAUUUGUGCUAAGUUAUAGCUUUUUAUAGACAACAUGUUGACUAUAUUUAGUCUUGUAGCUUACUCGCUUAUGCUAUUUUACCUACGCUUAGGAUGUUGACAGCAGUAUAGACUGU
rnacentral:rRNA from 1 species